rnacentral:rRNA from 1 species
UUUAAUUGAUCUGGCGAGCUUGCUCUGAUUUGAUUCUAUCUGACAAAGAGUGGCGAACGGGUGAGUAACACGUGGGUAACCUACCUCUUAGCAGGGGAUAACAUUUGGAAACAAGUGCUAAUACCGUAUAAUACCAACAACCGCAUGGUUGUUGGUUGAAAGAUGGUUCUGCUAUCACUAAGAGAUGGACCCGCGGUGCAUUAGCUAGUUGGUAAGGUAACGGCUUACCAAGGCAAUGAUGCAUAGCCGAGUUGAGAGACUGAUCGGCCACAAUGGGACUGAGACACGGCCCAUACUCCUACGGGAGGCAGCAGUAGGGAAUCUUCCACAAUGGGCGCAAGCCUGAUGGAGCAACGCCGCGUGUGUGAUGAAGGGUUUCGGCUCGUAAAACACUGUUAUAAGAGAAGAACGGCACUGAGAGUAACUGUUCAGUGUGUGACGGUAUCUUACCAGAAAGGAACGGCUAAAUACGUGCCAGCAGCCGCGGUAAUACGUAUGUUCCAAGCGUUAUCCGGAUUUAUUGGGCGUAAAGCGAGCGCAGACGGUUAUUUAAGUCUGAAGUGAAAGCCCUCAGCUCAACUGAGGAAUGGCUUUGGAAACUGGAUGACUUGAGUGCAGUAGAGGAAAGUGGAACUCCAUGUGUAGCGGUGAAAUGCGUAGAUAUAUGGGAAGAACACCAGUGGCGAAGGCGGC